AUAUUCCAGAAACCCGAUGCUGGCUCCCUCAUUUUCCAUAGACCUCAUCUUCAGUCCCUAAAGAAGAAAACGGUGACAAGAAAUCGGAAGUCCAAUGCAGUCUGUACUCUUCAUGGAUGAACUUCUCAUGUUAAGUGCAAGUAUUUAUAUGGUACAUGUCUGACAAAGGAAGCCUUCCUACAAUCAUUACUGAUUGGACAGCUCCUAUAGACAGCAUCAGUUUAUAAGUGUUUCCUUUCUGAUACACGUUACAGAAUACUGUAAAGAAAUUAUGAAAAUUAUAUUGAACAAAUCAAGAAGUGGUUCAAGUUUUUGAAAACCUCAAUUUAAAGUUUACAUAUUUUCAAAGUUGAAUAAUUUUACACUGGGGUGGGAAGUGAAGUAUAAAUAAACAUUUGCUUAAAGGUACUGAGUUGUGAUAAUUUUUCAUGGAAUGAGACUGUCAGGCAGUAGCAGUUAAAUUAAUAUAUACUGUACUUAAAAAAUUAAACACUUGAGAAAUAACCUUUUUAGCCACUGGAAAAUGGCAAAGUCUAAGACAUUUCAAUCAAGUUAAUUUGGGUAUUAGAGAAAUGCAUUUUCCCACCAGAAACUAUGUGAAGAAACAAAUUAAACAAAAUGGCCCUCCGGAUGCUCGGGUAGCCCUGGGCGAGGAGCGGCACCAUUGCUUGUCAAUUAGGUUAUUAUACACACACAUUCCCUCAUUUUAAAUCACGCCAAAGCUGAACGGUUGAAGGUAUAUCAAAAUGAAGCAUGACUUGCAAUUUAAAUGGUUUUUUGUUUCUUUGUUUUAACUUUCUUUUUACUCCUGGACAAAGGGUCCUGCUGGGUUUCUCAGGUUGGGCUGUCUAAUUUCUUAGCUCCAAAGAGCCUCCUGCCUCAGUCCCCUGCACAACAGCUGAGACUACAGGCUUGAACCCACUGUAGUAGCUUGAACCCACUGUAGCUUGAACCCACUGUAGCUUGAACCCACUGUAGUAGCUUGAACCCACUGUAGUAGCUUGAACCCACUGUAGUAGCUUGAACCCACUGUAGUAGCUUGAACCCACUGUAGUAGCUUGAACCCACUGUAGUAGGCUCAGAGUUUCUCUUUAACAAGCACUAACCUAGAGCAACUAGUCUAAUUCAGCUAUGUGUUCUAGGAUCUUUCCCUAGCUCACCCUGGCAUGCUAAAGUUCCUAGAACAAAAGUUCCUGAGCAGUCUUGGAAGUAGAAGAAGAGGCCAGGAGAACACUUUAACCAGCUCUGAAGUUACCUCAAAGACACCAGCAUGGAGACAGAUCAGUUUUUCUGGCCACACUAGCUGCAGGGCUCAGGCCCAGACUUCCCAAGGCAGGACAGUGGCAAUUUGGACAGGUUACUUAACUCCCUCACCCCACCCCAACUUCCGUUUCUUUUACUUGUCAAGGUCUAGCCUUGGACUGGGUCCCCAACAAAUAUGCAACAGACCCUGAGAGCUGCUCACAGCCCCACUACACUGCAGAAGGCAGGGAAGGCAGGCAGGCUGUCCUUUUGCUUUUGUUUUCAACAACACCUUGAGACUAAGAAACAACAGAAGUAACUUUAGGAUUGCCGUAGGAGCUGAGUGUUUCUGUUAAAUUAUUUAUUUUAUUUAUAUGAGUACACUGUCACUGACACAUCAGAAAAGGGCAUCAAAUACCAUUACAGAUGGUUGAGAUGAUGUGGUUGCUGGGAAUUGAACUCAGGGCCUCUGGAAGAGCAGUCAGUGCUCUUAACCACUGAGCCCUCUCUCCAGCAUGGAGCUGAGUUUUUAAGGGCUAGGUUAAAGCCCUUCAUCUAAAACCACCGAAUGUAGGCAGGCACAGGAGACCCGGUGACUUCAGUUUGGGCACAUAAAAUUUUCUACUAAAGAGAAAAUUCCUCUGACACCAGAGGGGGCAACUUUUUAAAAUAAGCAAUGUUAUAUAGAUCAGUAAUAUUUGAUUAGAUACUUCCUUAUAGUUGACCAGGCUCCAACAAGAAAGAUGAGUAGCAAAUCAGAAACACCACCAAAUGGGAAGUAGAUCUAACAUCCUGUUGCCUCUUGGUACAUUCUAUUGCCUGUUCAAAAUGGAGUCUCAUAAAGUCAGGUUACCUUGAAAUUCUUACAUUGAAAUGUUGGAAUUUAUAAUCAUGAGCCACCAAAUCUAACUUAGUAUCUUUUUCUCCUACAUGCUCAGUGGGCAAGAGCUUGUUGCUCUUGCAGAGGACCAGCACCCACAUGGUGGCUCACAACUGUCUGUAACUCCAAUUACUGGGGAUCUGACGCCCUCUUCUGGACUGCACAGGCACUGCAUUCAUAUAACAUACAUCCAUGCACUCAGGGCUGGGACUGCAGGCAAGUGCCAUGUGUCGCCUUGACCAGGACAUGGGAUGCUGGGGCUCAAAACCAAGAAUUCCUGCACAGCGGGCUGACGGCUGAGGCGGAAGGACGGUGAGCUCUAGGCCAGCCUGGACUACACAGUGAAGCCCAGCUUAAAAAAGAAAAAAACGGCCAGUGUCUUGGAGAAAACUGAGUUUCCAGCAGCUGGUACUCAUGUCCUUGUGACUCAGACAGCUUGGGCUCAUGAGCUCUACUCAGCUGACCUGUUGUAAUCGUCUGGGUAUAAAUUGUCUGAUGUUCUGAAUACGGCCAUGACACCAAGGAACCCCGCCUGAAAACUUCAGCUCAGACUUCAGACAACUGUGCUACAGCACGUACCAAUUUUACUGCACAUCUGACACAUUCUGUUCUUAUAGAAACAUAAUUGUUUAAUUAGAGAAAAUAAACGUUUUAAUAUUUUCCUACUAUCAUUCUUUAAUAUACAAGUACAAAUUAAUCUGUGUUUAAACUGUAUCAUGUUAGAACAUUUAUUUUUAAGUGAAUAUUUUCAAAUAAUAAAUAUUUUCAUUUUAAAAGGAAAAUUUUAAAAAUUAAAGGUGCUGAAUUGAACUG
ensembl:antisense Bcas3os1 breast carcinoma amplified sequence 3, opposite strand 1